CUCUCGAAGAAAAAAGGUGGAAGUGAAGUUUAUUAAAGACUUCAGACGAUAUUUAAAAAAUAGGGCGGAGUGUGGUUCCAGUGGAGGGAAAAAUGAUACUUAUGAAAUUUGCAGGUAUGGAAGAGACGAGGUGGCCGAGUGGUUAAGGCGAUGGACUGCUAAUCCAUUGGGCUCUGCCCGCGUGGGUUCGAAUCCCAUCCUCGUCGUUGGCAUUCGAAGACGUCGUAUGGAAUCCACAUCCGAUUUUCUAUAAUAUUUUUAGCUAAAGUGAUGACAGUUGGGAUGACCAUAUGAAAGAAUGUGCCACUGCAUCUCAACGCGAUCAAACUGUUUUACAGUUUCUGACGAGACUGUGAAGUUGAUGUAUUAUGAUCGAUAUCUUCAAUUUCUUUCAACAUUUUAUGUAAAGGAUCUUUGACUGAAAGGACA